UUUGGAUUAAUGCCCUAUAGUAUCUUUCUAAGGCAUCUUAUUAAGAUUAAAGGUUACGGUAUGAGAUGAGUAUGCGUUCUAUUAGCUUGUAGGUGUGGUAACGGCACACCUAGGCUACGAUAGAUAGGGGCCCUGAGAGGGGGAUCCCCCACACUGGUACUGAGACACGGACCAGACUCCUACGGGAGGCAGCAGUAAGGAAUAUUGGACAAUGGGCGAAAGCCUGAUCCAGCCAUGCCGCGUGCAGGAUGACUGCCCUAUGGGUUGUAAACUGCUUUUAUAUAGGAAGAAAAAUUUUCUCGUGAGAAAACUUGACGGUACUAUAAGAAUAAGGAUCG
rnacentral:rRNA from 1 species